GCAAUGCCGCGUGAGUGAAGAAGGCCUUCGGGUUGUAAAGCUCUUUUGUCAGGGAAGAAAAGGGAUUGGCUAAUAUCUGGUCCUCAUGACGGUACCUGAAGAAUAAGCACCGGCUAACUACGUGCCAGCAGCCGCGGUAAUACGUAGGGUGCAAGCGUUAAUCGGAAUUACUGGGCGUAAAGCGUGCGCAGGCGGUUUUGUAAGACUGUCGUGAAAUCCCCGGGCUCAACCUGGGAAUGGCGAUGGUGACUGCAAGGCUAGAGUUUGGCAGAGGGGGGUAGAAUUCCACGUGUAGCAGUGAAAUGCGUAGAUAUGUGGAGGAACACCGAUGGCGAAGGCAGCCCCCUGGGUCAAAACUGACGCUCAUGCACGAAAGCGUGGGGAGCAAACAGGAUUAGAUACCCUGGUAGUCCACGCCCUAAACGAUGUCUACUAGUUGUCGGGUCUUAAUUGACUUGGUAACGCAGCUAACGCGUGAAGUAGACCGCCUGGGGAGUACGGUCGCAAGAUUAAAACUCAAAGGAAUUGACGGGGACCCGCACAAGCGGUGGAUGAUGUGGAUUAAUUCGAUGCAACGCGAAAAACCUUACCUACCCUUGACAUGGAUGGAAUCUUCGAGAGAUU
rnacentral:rRNA from 1 species